rnacentral:rRNA from 1 species
UGAGGAAUAUUGGGCAAUGCCCGCAAGGGUGACCCAGCAACGCCGCGUGGAGGAUGAAUGUCGUAAGAUUGUAAACUCCUGUUAGAGGGGAAGAAUAGUACCGGUUGGACCGGUAUAUGACUGUACCCUCAGAGCAAGCCCCGGCUAACUACGUGCCAGCAGCCGCGGCAAUACGUAGUGGGCAAGCGUUGUCCGGAUUUACUGGGUGUAAAGGGCGCGCAGGCGGGAUAAAAAGUCAGUGGUGAAAUCCUACAGCUUAACUGUAGAAAUGCCUUUGAUACUUUUAUUCUUGAGUUCGGGAGAGGUGGACGGAAUUCCAGGUGUAGUGGUGAAAUACGUAGAUAUCUGGAAGAACACCAGUUGCGAAGGCGGUCUCUUGGUCCGACACUGACGCUGAGGCGCGAAAGCGUGGG